CAAUAGCGUAUAUUUAAGUUGUUGCAGUUAAAAAGCUCGUAGUUGGAUUUCGGGUGGGACGCAGCGGCCUCGCAUUGCGUUUGUACUGCUGCAGCCCUCCUUCUUGCCGGGGGCGGCCUCUCGGACUUCACUGUCUGGGGGUCAGAAUCGGCGAUGUUACUUUGAGUAAAUUAGAGUGUUCAAAGCAAGCUUACGCUCUGAAUAUAAUAGCAUGGGAUAACACGACAGGACUCUGGCCUAUCGUGUUGGUCUAUAGGACCAGAGUAAUGAUUAAGAGGGACAGUCGGGGGCAUUCGUAUUCCGUUGUCAGAGGUGAAAUUCUUGGAUUUACGGAAGACGAACAUCUGCGAAAGCAUUUGCCAAGGAUGUUUUCAUUGA
rnacentral:rRNA from 1 species